AUUGAACGCUGGCGGCAGGCUUAACACAUGCAAGUCGAGCGGGGUGAUGGUGCUUGCACUAUCACUUAGCGGCGGACGGGUGAGUAAUGCUUAGGAAUCUGCCUAUUAGUGGGGACAACAUCUCGAAAGGGAUGCUAAUACCGCAUACGUCCUACGGGAGAAAGCAGGGGAUCACUUGUGACCUUGCGCUAAUAGAUGAGCCUAAGUCGGAGUAGCUAGUUGGUGGGGUAAAGGCCUACCAAGGCGACGAUCUGUAGCGGGUCUGAGAGGAUGAUCCGCCACACUGGGACUGAGAACCGGACAAGACUCCUACGGGAGGCAGCAGUGGGGAAUAUUGGACAAUGGGGGGAACCCUGAUCCAGCCAUGCCGCGUGUGUGAAGAAGGCCUUAUGGUUGUAAAGCACUUUAAGCGAGGAGGAGGCUCUUUUGGUUAAUACCCAAGAUGAGUGGACGUUACUCGCAGAAUAAGCACCGGCUAACUCUGUGCCAGCCGCCGCCGUAA
rnacentral:rRNA from 1 species